rnacentral:rRNA from 1 species
CAGUCGCCGCGGGAAUACGGAGGGUGCAAGCGUUAAUCGGAAUUACUGGGCGUAAAGCGCACGCAGGCGGUCUGUCAAGUCGGAUGUGAAAUCCCCGGGCUCAACCUGGGAACUGCAUUCGAAACUGGCAGGCUAGAGUCUUGUAGAGGGGGGUAGAAUUCCAGGUGUAGCGGUGAAAUGCGUAGAGAUCUGGAGGAAUACCGGUGGCGAAGGCGGCCCCCUGGACAAAGACUGACGCUCAGGUGCGAAAGCGUGGGGAGCAAACAGGAUUAGAUACCCCUGUAGUCCCUGUCUCUUAUAU